rnacentral:rRNA from 1 species
GAUUAACGCUGGCGGUAGGCCUAACACAUGCAAGUCGAACGGCAGCACAGGAGAGCUUGCUCUCUGGGUGGCGAGUGGCGGACGGGUGAGGAAUACAUCGGAAUCUACUUUUUCGUGGGGGAUAACGUAGGGAAACUUACGCUAAUACCGCAUACGACCUACGGGUGAAAGCAGGGGAUCUUCGGACCUUGCGCGAUUGAAUGAGCCGAUGUCGGAUUAGCUAGUUGGCGGGGUAAAGGCCCACCAAGGCGACGAUCCGUAGCUGGUCUGAGAGGAUGAUCAGCGACACUGGAACUGAGACACGGUCCAGACUCCUACGGGAGGCAGCAGUGGGGAAUAUUGGACAAUGGGCGCAAGCCUGAUCCAGCCAUACCGCGUGUGUGAAGAAGGCCUUCGGGUUGUAAAGCCCUUUUGUUGGGAAAGAAAUCCAGCUGGUUAAUACCCGGUUGGGAUGACGGUACCCAAAGAAUAAGCACCGGCUAACUUCGUGCCAGCCGCCGCCGUAA